rnacentral:lncRNA from 1 species
CAAACAUUACAGUAUAAAACAAAUCUUUUUGUUCACCCCCUAAGAAGUCAAUUGGAUUGAUUAUCUCCCCUUAAUACAUUAUACACAAAGUAUAACCUACCAUUACCUCAAACCUGACAGCAUCAAACAUAUCUUUAUUGUUGACCAUCGAAGAAGUCAUUUCGACUGAUUAUCUCCCUUUCAUACAUAAUACACAAAGUAUAACCUUCCGUUACCUCAAACCUAACAGCAUAAUACAAUUUUUUAGUUCACCCCUAUAAAGUCAUUUGAAUUGAUUAUCUCCCCUUAAUACUUAAUACACAAAGUAUAUGUAACCUACUGUUACCUCAAACCUG